rnacentral:rRNA from 1 species
CCCUUAGAUGUCCUGGGCCGCACGCGCGCUACACUGAUGCAUUCAACGAGUUUUUCCUUGGCCGAGAGGCCUGGGCAAUCUUUUGAACGUGCAUCGUGAUAGGGAUAGAUUAUUGCAAUUUUUAAUCUUGAACGAGGAAUUCCUAGUAAACGCAGUUCAUCAAUCUGCAUUGAUUACGUCCCUGCCCUUUGUACACACCGCCCGUCGCACCUACCGAUUGAAUGGUCCGGUGAAGCCUCGGGAUUGUGGCUAGUUCCCUUCAUUGGGAGUUGGUUGCGAGAACUUGUCUAAACCUUAUCAUUUAGAGGAAGGUGAAGUCGUAACA